UACGAAGGGGGCUAGCGUUGUUCGGAAUCACUGGGCGUAAAGCGCACGUAGGCGGAUGUGCCAGUCAGGGGUGAAAUCCCCGGAGCUCAACUUCGGAACUGCCUCUGAUACAGCAACGGUCUUGAGUCCGGAAGAGGUGGGUGGAAUUCCUAGUGUAGAGGUGAAAUUCGUAGAUGAGUUAGGAAGAACACCGGUGGCGAAGGCGGCCCACUGGUCCGGUACUGGACGCCUGAGGU
rnacentral:rRNA from 1 species